UGGUAAUUAGUUUAAUCAAAAUUAAUGAUUUCGACUCAUUAGACUAUGGCACCCACCAUAAUUACCAAA
rnacentral:tRNA from 1 species